GACGAACGCUGGCGGCGUGCUUAACACAUGCAAGUCGAGCGGUAAGGCCCUCGGGUACGACGAGCGGCGAACGGGUGAGUAACACGUGGGUGACCUGCCUCUAGCUCUGGGAGUAAGCCGUGGGAAAACUGGGUCGUAAUACCGGAUAUGACUCCACGGCGCAUGUUGUGGGGUGGAAAGCCUUGUGUGGCUAGAGAUGGGCCCGCGGCCUAUCAGCUUGUUGGUGGGGUGAUGGCC
rnacentral:rRNA from 1 species